rnacentral:tRNA from 1 species
AGGGUAUAGCUCAAGUGGUAGAGCACAUGCUUAGCAUGCACAAGGUCCUGGGUUCAAUCCCCAGUACCUCUU